CCAGAAGAAUCUUCUCCACUUCCUGGCUCAUCGCACGCGCCUCCAUGCGCAGACGCAUCGCCUCGUCCAAACCAUCACCCACGGGCCGCAGGAGUAUCCACCCAUCCAUGACUCCCUGGGGAGCAGGUGCCACAUUCCUGAGCACACAGGACAUGGAGAAGACACUGCUUUAUCAGCACUGGAAAUUGUUGCUGACCCUUCUUCAACAGCAAAAGCUCACUCUGGGCGUCAGAUCCGAAGAUGAAGAGGCCAUGGCAAGGAGCCUGGAACUAGAGACUCCUGUUACCACAUGGACACCAAAUGCCCUCCCUUUCUGAGAGAGUCCAAUCCCUCUGGGAGCUUCACCCUGUGCAAAGUGGCCAAUAAAUGGCAUCUUGAUCAAA